GUGCUCGCUUCGGCAGCACAUAUACUAAAAUUGAAACAACACAGAGAAGAUUAGCAUGGCCCCUGUACAAGGAUGAUAAGCAAAUUCGUGAAACAUUCUAAUUGUUU